UAUGGUUUCUGAGUUUAGGUCACAUGGGUCGGUUGCUAUGGUUACUGAGUUUAUGUCACAUAGUUUGGUUGCUAUGGUUACUGAUUUUAGGUCACAUAGGUCGGUUUCUAUGGUUACUGAUUUUAGGUCACAUGGGUCGGUUGCUAUGGUUACUGAUUUUAGAUCACAUGGUCCGGUUGCUAUGGUUACUGAGUUUAGGUCACAUGGUUCAGUUGCUAUGGUGCCUCCAUACUGAGGUCACACGGUGUGGUUGCCGUGGCGACUGCUGCAGGUUAUAAUGAGCGUAUUGUUGAAGCAGAACAACAGCAGCUUGUUUAUGUUGUGAGCUGCAGCCGACCAAUCAGACGGACAGAAGGACAAACGGACGACUCAUCCUGAUGAUGUCGCUUCCUGUCUCCUGUUGAUUUAAAUGAUUGAUUUGUGUCAUUUUAUUUUACUAAAUCUUUACAAUCUGACAAGAUGUGAAUUAUUUGAAAUGUUUAAACUUCUAAUUAUUU